rnacentral:rRNA from 1 species
AGGCAGCAGUAGGGAAUAUUGCGCAAUGGCCUAACGGUUGACGCAGCAACGCCGCGUGGAUGAUGAAGCUUUUCGGAGUGUAAAAUCCUUUCAGCAGGGAAGAAUAUCUUGACGGUACCUGCAGAAGAAGUCCCGGCCAACUCCGUGCCAGCAGCCGCGGUAACACGGGGGGGACAAGCGUUGUUCGGAUUCACUGGGCGUAAAGCGCUCGUAGGUGGGCUGGAUAGUCGGAUGUGAAAUCCUGAGGCUUAACUUCAGGCCUGCAUCCGAAACUGCCAGUCUUGAGUACUGGAGAGGGUGGCGGAAUUCCUGGUGUAGCGGUGAAAUGCGUAGAUAUCAGGAGGAACACCGAUGGCGAAGGCAGCCACCUGGACAGAUACUGACACUGAGGGGCGAAGGCUAGGGUAGCAAACAGGAUUAGAUACCCUGGUAGUCCUAGCGGUAAACGAUGGGCACUAGGUGUUGGCGGUAUCGACCCCGCCAGUGCCGCAGCAAACGCAUUAAGUGCCCCGCCUGGGGAGUACGGUCGCAAGAUUGAAACUCAAAGGAAUUGACGGGGGCCCGCACAAGCGGUGGAGUAUGUGGUUCAAUUCGACGCAACGCGCAGAACCUUACCUGGGCUUGGCAUAUACCGGAAAGCCACAGAGAUGUGGUUCCUCCUUCGGGAGUCGGUAUACAGGUGCUGCAUGGCUGUCGUCAGCUCGUGUCGUGAGAUGUUGGGUUAAGUCCCGCAACGAGCGCAACCCUCGUUCUUAGUUGCCAUCAGGUUAUGCUGGGGACUCUAAGAAGACUGCCGGUGACAAGCCGGAGGAAGGUGGGGAUGACGUCAAGUCCUCAUGGCCCUUACGCCCAGGGCUACACACGUACCACAAUGGCCGGUAUAGACGGCAGCAAUACCGCAAGGUGGAGCUAAUCCCUAAAACCGGCCUCAGUUCAGAUUGGAGUCUGCAACUCGACUCCAUGAAGGUGGAAUCGCUAGUAAUCGCAGAUCAGCAUGCUGCGGUGAAUACGUUCCCGGGCCUGUACACACCGCCCGUCAAGCCAUGGGAGUGGGGGGUACCCGAAGUCGCCGACCUAA